CUCCACUGCAGAGAGGCCUUGGAAGAUAUAGAUUUUAAGCUGAGGAGAGAAGACUUGACUCUUAAGAGAAGAGAGUCAUUGGAGAAACAGAAAAGCCUACUAGCAAUGCAAGCUGAAGCUUAUGAAAAAGAACUUAAAAUUCUUCAUCAGGAGAAUCGCAAAAUUGUAGCACUCUCGGCAGCUGUUGUUUUGCUGGUGGUGGUGAUUUAUACCUGCUGGACAAUGUAGAAGCUUUUUUUCCCUUCACACACCCCCAAGAUGUAAUGACUUGACAUUGUUAAAUCUCUUCCUCUCCUCACCAAACUGCCUCAUCAGUGCCAUUUCCAUAUCAUUCAGACACCUCUGACUUACCACAGUCAACCAUCAUCA
rnacentral:lncRNA from 1 species